rnacentral:misc_RNA from 1 species
GAAAGAAAGAAAGAAAGAAAGAAACAGUGGUAAGUGUCUGCAGAAAUUGUUGGUGGUGGUGGUAGUAGGUAGAAAAGGAAGUUGGGUAUGGACAAAGCCAGAUGUGGGCUUAUCAGGAAACAAAACCUACAGGCUAUGGCAGACUACUUCCAUGCGUGAACGGGCUGGCUCUAUGGGAAAUGUUGGAUUUUUUUGUUUUCACAGAACCACUAAUUCUAAUUCUUUUGAAUGAUGAUGAUGAUGAGAGUGA